rnacentral:lncRNA from 1 species
GCAUUCCCACGAAAGUGAUGAUUCGGUGGAGUCUUUCUUCUGAAGGAUAUGAUGGGAGAGAGUUCCGUUAGAAAUAUACUCAUAUACUAGCAAUGGAACCUCCGUCUCCAAGCAACAACCAAGCAAUUUCACGAUGUUUCGAUGAUUGAUUUGAGUUAGAAUGACAACUUCAUUGAUGAAUUGCUCAAUCUGAUUUUCGUCCAUCGCCCUUGACCUUUUAACCGCUACUAUGGUUCCGUCAGGUAACAUCCCUUUAUAAACUGUGCCAUAACCUCCUUCCCCUAGAAACCGGCUCUGGUUGUAGUUAUCCGUUGCUCUCUCUAACUCCUCUGCAGUAAAUAGUUUUGCAUUGCUACUAAUUCCAUAAAAUGAGAAUUUUUCUCGCAACAAGAAGCCCCCAUUUUGCUUGAAAAAGUUCUCCUUACGGGUUUUGGUUCUCCUUCUCUUCAGGCAUUGAUAUAAAUAGUAGCAUAAAAGGAACACGCAUAUGAAUGCAAACCCAAUCCCAAUACCUGUCAAGUAAAUUAGACAACAAAGAAAAACCAAUUAGCUCACGUCCAAGUUGAAAAUUCAAGUAAUACAGAGAGAAGAAUGUAAAGUCUGAUAUUUGAAACGUGACAAAAUAAAAUACGACAUAUAAUGAAUAAUUUUACUACUAAUUACAUCGAUGCAUUUUUGUACAUCGGCCUGCUAAACGUGACAAAAACAAAAUAAAAUACGAUAUAUAUACCUAGCAGUGUGACCAACUUCACCGGAAACUUUUUGCCGUUGCGAAUACAAUCGACAUAUUCUAGGAUACUCCCAUUUGCAACGAAAUUCCCAUCAGAAGUAGGGCAUUUCUUGCUUUUGAGGGGAACAAGAACAGUUGUAUUAGGGUCGAUAAUGCUGUCCCGUGACAACAAAUUUGCCUCUAGUAUACUUUGACUGUUUACCCCAAAUAUCUCUCCUAUUCUUGCAAUUGUGUCGUUCAUGGCUACUAUAUAUGUCAGCAGGGAUGUAAUCCCAUCUGCAGUUUGCUUUUCGCUCGGGCAAGCGCAUCUCACCAGAACUGUUAACACUGCUCCCACCGUAAUAUUUACAGGUUCAUAAUAGUUCUGACCUAUCAUAGACUGACAUGUAGCCAGGCCUUGGAAAGUGUAGACGGCCGUCUUAUAAUACGUAUCGCCUUCUGUCACGGUGUAAGUAGAGAAGUGCUGGAAGAUACUGCCCGAACAUGAACAAGAAACUGGAACUACAACCAACCUGUUGCUUGGAAUCUUGUCACUUCCUGAAACCUUGUUAACUGAGGCAAUCUCUGAGGCUUCGGAGGCGAGGAGAGAGGCGAUGCUGAUGGCGGUGUCAUGGGGCGGCUGCGAUCUGAACGUGACGAAGGACUGGCAGGACUUGAUGACACUGGAAUCACAGAGGUACCCAUUUGACAUGGGGCUACCAUCGCAGGACUGUGUGCUGUUGAGGUAUACCUGCUGAGGGUGUGCUGGUUGAUAAAAUAGGGACAUACACAGGCAAGCAUAGAGGAAAUCAUAGAAGGAAGAUAGGUUCAUUGUAUGUGGUUAAUGGAGUUUUAGUUUUUCUUUCGAAAUCUUAGGGCAAGCGACAAGUAAGCAAGCUAAGCUAGCUUGAGCUCUUGAUCCUUUACUAAAUCUAUAUAUAUAUAUAUUAAAAAUAAAAAAAAAUAAAAAAAGAAGAGAGCUUAGGUUUGGCGUGAAUUUCCCACUGAUGUCCAAACUUGUCAAGGUCGGCAAUAUUCUGGUCUAGUCAGAAUUGUCAGCUUGAAGAUUUGGCAUGAGAAUUCGGAUCCUUGUCCGAUCUUUUUGUGAGGAUCUAGAAAUAUGUAAAUCGUGUUCGUUCAUAUAUCGUGUUAUUAGAAAUAAUUUUAAAUAUAUUUAUUUAAAAUUAAACACAAACAGUACUUGAUAAAAACUGACCGCACGACAUACGAUGAACGGAUAUAAUUUACGGAUCCUUAAGAUCCUCACAAAAGGAUUCGGAGAGGAUUAUGUUGGUCUCAACGAAUCCUCCUUGUGAAGAUUCUAGGAAUCUUUCAGUCACGUACGUUCAUCGUAUAACGUGCAGUAAGAAAUUAUUGUAAAUUUUUUAUUUAAAAUUAAAUAUAAACAUACUUUACGAAAAUUAAUCUCACGAUGUACGAUAAAUGUCACAUCUCGGUGCAGUCAGAAAUUAUUGUAAAUUUUUUAUUUAAAAUUAAAUAUAAGCAUACUUUACGAAAAUUAAUCGCACGAUGUACGAUAAAUGCCAUAUCCCCGCCUGGGACGGACCACUUCCCGAGCCCGCUCCAUCACCGUAGUACGAUAUUGUCCGCUUUGGGCCCGAUUACGCCCUCACGGUUUUGUUUUUGGGAACUCACGAGUAACUUCCCAGUAGGUUACCCAUCAUGAGAGUGCUCUGACCUCCUUCUCGCAUAACUUUGAAGUUUCUACGGAAUCGGAAGCCAGUGAACUCCCAAAAGGUCUCGUGCUAGUUCUGGUUGAUAAAAUAGGGACAUACACAGGCUUGCAUAUAGGAAAUCAUAGAAAUAAAAUAACUCCAUUAUAUGUGGUUAAUGGAGUUCUAGUUUUUCUUUCGAAAUCUUAGGGCAAGCAAUAAGUAAGCAAGCUAGCUUGAACUCUUGAUCCUUUACUAAUAAAUCCCAAAAAAAAAAAAACAUAUAUACAGAGAGAGAGAGAGAGAGAGAGAGAUUAGGUUUGGCGUGAAUUUCCUAUUGAUGUCCAAACUUGUCAAGGUCAGCAAUAUUCUGGUCUAGUCAGAAUUGUCAGCUUGAAGAUUUGGCAUGAGGAUCCUUGCCGAGAAUCCGGAUCCGGAUCCCGAGGAUUUCAAGAUACAUAAAUCGUAUCUGUUCAUCAUACAUCGUGAGAUCAAAAAUCAUUUAAAAUUUUUCUAUUUAAAAUUAAACACAAACAGUAUUUGACAAAAAUUGACCACACGAUAUAGGAUGAACGAAUGCGAUUCACAAAUCCUUAUAAUCGUCACCAAAAGGAUCUGGAGAUGAUCUUGUUGGCCUCACCAGAUCCUCCUUGUGAAGAUCUCAAGAAUCUUUCAAUCACAUCCGUUCAUCAUAUAUUAUACGAUUAGAAAUCCUUAUAAAAUUUUAUUUAAAAUUGAAUAUAAACAUACUUGACGAAAACUAGAUGCACGAUGUACGAUAAACGAUGAACGGAUGUGAUUAGAGAAUUUUUGUAAUCCUCACAAAGAGUAUCCGAUGAGAAUUCUCUCUUGAAGAUUUGAAAGGGACUGUCACGUCUCAUUUGUCAUUGGUGGUACGUGUCGAGUCAUCAAAUCGUAAGAAAGUUCUAAAGAUUUGCUAGCACGGAUGAGGAUCACAUCCGGAUCCAAAUGGUAGGGAUCUUAAAAAUCCUUACAUCAUAGCCGUUCAUCAUACAUUGUAUGGUCAGUUUUCGUCAGGUACUAUUUCUGUUUAAUUUUAAAUAAAAAAUUCAAAUAAUUUCUAACUGUACAAUGUACAAUAAACGAUUAGGAUGUACAUAUCCCUACUAUUUGAAUCCUAAUGGGAUCCAAAUCCUGCUUGCACGACUUGAAUAGUCGCAUGACAGAUGGGCAAGUGUCUGGUCAAAUUGGUUUAGGACACGGCAAUGAACUCAAUUAAUCUUGGAUAAUUAUCUUUCCUUUAUCAUUGUUGAACUUUGUGCAUCGGGAAGCAAACAACGUAGCACACAUGCUAGCUCGUGCUGGUUUGGGUGUUUCUAGUGAAGAUAGGUGGGUUGAAUCUCCCCCAAAUUUUAUUUUAGAUGCUUUAUUAGAAGAUAAUCAUGUGUAACCGUUUACAUUACGGUGAAGAUAACUAUUUAUGCGGAACACUCUUUUUUUUUUAGAUCGAAUUGAAAUUUACGACAAGAUUUUUAUUGAGUCCCAUUUUAACACCAUAUUCUCUCUUUGUACGUGUUUUUUGUAUUAAUAAAUAUUGUACUUUCUUAAAAAAAACAAAAUAGAACUACUUUAUUUUUUAACAAAUUUGCUAACUACUUAAGUUCAAUCUUGGAUAAUAUUUUUAAUAUCUUUCUUUUAUUUUUCGUUUUAUUUGCUAACUACUUGUAGUGAGUGGUAGAUAUUCAAAUAUAUUGUGUUUGUGUACUUAUUUUCUAUUGAUGGUUUUCAAAUGUAAUCUAAAAAAAUUGGUGUCUAUUUAUUAGGUCUGGCAAACGGGUCGUGUCUGUCGUGUUCGUGUUUUUUUCGUGUAACACCUGUUAUCUUAACGGGUCGUGUCAUGUCACACCUAUUAUCUUAACAUGUUGGGUCACUUUACCUAACGGGUAAAGUGACCCGACCCGUUAUGACCCGUUAAGAAAAAUAUUUUUUUUCCUUAAAUUUGCACAUACCACACAUUGCCACUUAAAUAUUACUUCAAAACAUUAAAACACAUUUAUCGUUUUAGUAUUACAUUUACACUUGAAAAUAAGAUCCUAAUAAAAAAACAAUCAAACACUACUAGUCUAUUACAAAAUAUUAAAUGUGCAAGCAUGGGCGAAGCUACAGAGGAGCAAGGAGGGGCGGUCGCCCCUCCUUUCGCCGGAAAAGAAUCCCAAAAACGGGUAGCCGCCCCUCUAGUCAGUCGGAAAACCUGCAAACGCCCCCUGCUUCCUCUGCUGCUGUACAUCAUCCGUUGUAGGCCUUCAUUUUUUUUUGAAAUCCCAACUACUAUUGGCGUAUAGCGAAGAAAUAAGACGAAAUAUGGGCAUUUCCAGUGUGAGCCGGAGUUGCGUUGCAGAAGCGGUGGUUCAAAUGAUUCGCGAGGAAGAAGAAGGGGCCCAGCUAUUUAAGUUGAAACGCACAGUUUCAUUUUUGUUGUGGCUACCAAUGAAAAUACAACUGCAAGCCACUUUUGAUUGUUUUCUUAUUUUUUUAUAAUUAUUUUUUAAUAUUAACAAAAGAUUUCAGAGCAUUAAUUUUAUUAAUUUAUAGUUUAGAGUUUUAUAAAAAAUAAUAACUCACUAUAAGAAGUGUACUUUUCUCGUACUAUCAUAUUCACUAAAUUAUUAAAAUAAAAAUUUGAUAAUUUUGAAUGUUAUAUGUUAAAUAAUAAGCUUAGUUAAAUAUAAAAUUGAAGCUUCAAUACAAGUAUAAUUUUUUAAGGUGUAAGACACUUAUUUAUAUGAUAUAUACAUAAUAAAUUUACUCAAAUACGUCUAGGUUCCUACCUAGGCGUUAGAUGAUAUAUAAAUAAAUUUACUCAAAUUUGUCUAGGCGCUAGGCUUCAGUUUGCUGCCUGCCUAGACUUAGCGUCUUUUAGAACCUUUAACCUUAAUUAUAAAUGACAUUAAUAUUGCCUACUAUCUAAAAGGAUUUGAUUGUCUACACUUUUUUGGGACCUUUUACAGUUCUAAAUUUCGUCCCUCCUCCCGACUAUUUCUGGUUUCACCACUGGUAAGGAUGUGAAUAUACAUUUAAGGAUCCCUCUCUUGGGCGAUGUAGGAUGUUAUAAUAAACGAAUGUGAUUAAAAAAUCUUUGUAAUCCUCACAAAGAGUAUUCUCUCUCGAAGAUUUGAAAGGUAUUGGAUUUUUUUUUUUUGAAAAAAAGAAACCAAUAUCUUUUCAUAAGAAAAUUCUAAAGACUUGCUUGCACGACUUGAAUUGUCGCAUGAAAAAAAAAAAAAUCCAAUACCUUUUCAUAAGAAAAUUCUAAAGACUUGCUUGCACGACUUGAAUUGUCGCAUGACAGAUGGGCUAGUGUCUGGUCAAAUUGGUUUAGGACACGGCAAUGAACUUUCUUUUAAUUUUCUUUUUAUUUUCUUUUUAUUUGCUAACUACUUUAUUUUUUAACAAAUUUGCUAACUACUUAGACCAUCUCUAACCUUUGGACUAAAAGCUAAAUUUUUUAGUCCGAAAAAUUUAGCUUUUAGCCUAGAAAUAGUUUUUCUACUCAAACUCUUCUGGCCUAAAAAUUUAGCCCGGGAUUAUUAAAAGAAUGAACUUAGACUAUUUUUUUUUCUUAAAUUAACUUCUUUUUUUUAAAUAUGUAGACUAUUGUAAAUUAAUUUUAUGAACAUUUUAAUUUAAAAAUAUUUAAAUUUUAAAAAAUAUUGAAAAAUCAUGAAUUCGAAACCAUAGGUCCAAGAAUCAGGGUGCAUGUUCAAGAAAAACACAAGUCCCCUAUUCGUUAAUGUCUAUAUGUUUUUUUACUAAAUUAUUUCAUUUCUUAAAACUAAUUAAGCCUUUAAAGAUUAUUUUAUCACUCGUGCGCCCUCUAUUACUUUGUAUAAGUUGUUUUUACAGUGGCCUUCGUGUUUGUUACUUGCAUAAAUAGCUCGACAAAGACAAUUAAUCUCCUAGUCUAGUCAUCACUCAUCAACACGCACUUGCGUUUAUUUCCUUGAUUCCCAAAUUCUUAAAUUUUGUGUUUACGUUUUAAAAAUUGACUUUACACUCUACGUACUUAUUAUCUGAUGAGUAAUGAUAAAUGGUAGGCCUGACAAUUCAUGACACGACCCAAUAACCCGAUCCGACACGACAUGAAAUUAACAGGUGUUCGGAUCGACACGAUAACGAAUCGGGUCGUUAUCGGGUAACCCGAUAAACACCUGUUAAGAUAACGGGUUGGUUCAGGUAUACACGUGGGUAACACGAAACACGAUAAACAGAAUAUUAAUUUUAUAAUUUUAUAACCCUAAAAAAAUAAUAUAAAAAUAAUAUAUAUUAGUUUAACAAUUUUAUACCCCUAAAAACUAUAAUAUAUAUAUAUAUAUAUAUAUUAAAUUAACUAUAAUAUAUAUAUAUAUAUAUAUAUUAACUAUAAUAAUUAUAAUAAUUAUAUAUACUCGAACAAUUAUACCCUCAAAAUAUGAUGGAAUAUGGAUGUGCAUUAAGGCGCGACAUAAGAUGAUGUAGUAGGAUGGGAUGAUUAUCACAUGAAUACAAAUGGUAUAUGCCUUUUGAUUCUUGCCACGUGGAAUGCAUCAGUAGGAGAUUUUGACUCCUUAUGCAAGUAUGGGUUUGAUAAAAUAAAGGACAUAAUUAUAUCUCCAAGCAAAUAGUACAAUUCAAAUUGAUUUGGGAUGUGUGGUGUAAGAUCUCAUAUCGCCCAGAGGUGUGGAUCCUGUAAGUCUCAUAUGUAUAUUCACAUCUUUAUCUAGCACGAGGCAUUUUGGGAGCUCACUGGCUUCAGGUUCCGUAGGAACUUCGAAGUCAAGCGAGAAUGGCGCGAGAGCAAUCCUAUGAUGGAUGACCCACUGGGAAGUUCUUGCUGAGUUCCCAUAAACAAAACUGUGAGGGCGUGGUCGGGGCCAAAAGCAGACAAUAUCGUGCUACGGUGGAGUCGAGCUCGGGGUGUGGUGGAGCUCGGGCCGGGAUCUGACAAUUUGGUAUCAGAGCCAAUCGCUCAUUGGCUUCGGGUUUCAUAGGAACUCUGAAGUUAAGCGAGAAUGGUGCAAGAGCAAUCACAAGAUGGGUGACCUACUAGGAAGUUCUCGCGUGAGUUCCCAUAAACAAAAUCGUAAGGGCGUGGUCGGGGCCCAAAGCGGACAAUAUCGUGCUACGGCGGAUUUGGAUCUCAUUAGGAUUCAAAUAGUAGGGAUCUGUACAUCCUAAUCGUUUAUUGUACAUUGUACAGUUAGAAAUUAUUUGAAUUUUUUAUUUAAAAUUAAACAUAAAUAGUACCUGACGAAAACUGACCAUACAAUGUAUGAUGAACGGCUAUGAUGUAAGGAUCUUUAAGAUCCCUACCAUUUGGAUCCGGAUGUGAUCAUCAUCCGUGCUAGCAAAUCUUUAGAACUUUCUUACGAUUUGAUGACUCGACACGUACCACCAAUGACAAAUGAGACGUAACAAUCCCUUUCAAAUCUUCAAGAGAGAAUUCUCAUCGGAUACUCUUUGUGAGGAUUACAAAAAUUCUCUAAUCGCAUCCGUUCAUCGUUCAUCGUACAUCGUGCAUCUAGUUUUCGUCAAGUAUGUUUAUAUUUAAUUUUAAAUAAAAUUUUACAAGGAUUUCUGAUCGUAUAAUAUACGAUGAACGGAUGUGAUUGAAAGAUUCUUGAGAUCUUCACAAGGAGGAUCUGGUGAGGCCAACAGGAUCCUCUCCAUAUCCUUUUGGUGACGAUUAUAAGGAUUUGUGAAUCGCAUUCGUUCAUCAUAUAUCGUGUGGUCAAUUUUUGUCAAAUACUGUUUGUGUUUAAUUUUAAAUAGAAAAAUUUUAAAUGAUUUUUGAUCUUACAAUGUAUGAUGAACAGACAUGAUUUAUGUAUCUUGAAAUCCUCGGGAUCCGGAUCCGGAUUCUCGGCAAGGAUCCUCAUGCCAAAUCUUUAAGCUGACAAUUUCGACUAGACCAGAAUAUUGCUGAGCUUGACAAGUUUGGACAUCAAUAGGAAAUUCACGCCAAAUCUCUCUCUCUCUCUCUCUCUCUCUCUCUCUCUAUAUAUAUAUAUAUGUAUAUUUGUUUUUUUUAUUUUGGGAUUUAUUAGUAAAGGAUCAAGAGUUCAAGCUAGCUUGCUUACUUAUUGCUUGCCCUAAGAUUUCGAAAGAAAAACUAGAACUCCAUUAACCACAUAUAAUGGAGCUAUUUUCUUUCUAUGAUUUCCUAUAUGCAAGCCUGUGUAUGUCCCUAUUUUAUCAACCAGUGACGAAGCCAGAAAUAGUCGGGAAGAGGGGCGAAAUUUAGAACUGUAAAAGGUCCCAAAAAAGUGUAGACAAUCAAAUCUUUUUAGAUAGUAGGCAAUAUUAAUGUAAUUCAUAAUUAAGGUUAAAGGUUCUAAAAGACGCUAGGUCUAGGCAGACAGCGAACUGAAGCCUAGUGCCUAAACAAAUUUGAGUAAAUUUAUUUAUAUAUCAUCUAACGCCUAGGCAGGAACCUAGACGUAUUUGAGAAAAUUUAUUAUGUAUAUAUCAUAUACAUAAGUGUCUUACACCUUAAAAAAUUAUACCUGUAUUGAAGCUUCAAUUUUAUAUUUAACUAAGCUUAUUAUUUAACAUAUAACAUUCAAAAUUAUCAAAAUUUUAUUUUAAUAAUUUAGUGAAUAUGAUAGUACGAGAAAAGUACACUUCUUAUAGUGAGUUAUUAUUUUUUAUAAAACUCUAAACUAUAAAUUAAUAAAAUUAAUGCUCUGAAAUCUUUUGUUAAUAUUAAAAAAUAAUUAUAAAAAAAUAAGAAAACAAUCAGAAGUGGCUUGCAGCUGUAUUUUCAUUGGUAGCCACAACAAAAAAUGAAACUGUGCAUUUCAACUUAAAUAGCUGGGCCCCUUCUUCUUCCUCGCAAAUCAUUUGAACCGCCGCUUCUGCAACGCAGAUCCGGCUCGCACCGGAAAUGCCCAUAUUUCAUCUUAUUUCUUCGCUAUACGCCAAUAGUAGUUGGGAUUUAAAAAAAAAAAAUGAAGGCCUACAACGGAUGAUGUACAGCAGCAGAGGAAGCAGGGGGCGUUUGCAGGUUUUCCGACUGACUAGAGGGGCGGCUACCCGUUUCUGGGAUUCUUUUCCGGCGAGAGGAGGGGCGACCGCCCCUCCUUGCUCCUCUGUAGCUUCGCCCUCAGCAGGCAUACCUCAACCACACACAGUUCAACUGCUCCAGUAACCCUGCCAUAUCAAAAGGGUACCUCUGUGAUGGCAGUGUCAAGUCCUGCCAGUCCUUCGUCACGUUCAGAUCUCAGCCGCCCCAUGACACCGCCAUCAGCAUCGCCUCUCUCCUCGCCUCCGAAGCCUCAGAGAUUGCCUCAGUUAACAAAGUUUCAGCAAGUGACAAGAUUCCAAGCAACAGGUUGGUUGUAGUUCCAGUUUCUUGUUCAUGUUCGGGCAGUAUAUUCCAGCACUUCUCUCCUUACACCGUGACAAAAGGCGACACGUAUUAUUGGACGGCCCUCGACACUUUCCAAGGCCUGACUACAUGUCAGUCUCUGAUAGGUCAGAACUACUAUGACCCUGAAGAUAUUCCGGUGGGAGCAGUGUUAACAGUUCCGAUGAGAUGCGCUUGUCCAAGCGAAAAUCAAACUGCAGAAGGGAUUACAUCCCUGCUGACAUAUAUAGUAGCAAUGAACGAUACAGUUACAACAAUCGGAGAGAUGUUUGGGGUCAACAGUCAAAGUAUACUGGACGCAAAUUUGUUGUCACGGGACAGCAUUAUCGACCCUAAUACAACCGUUCUUGUUCCCCUCAAAAGCAACAAAUGCCCUACUUCUGAUGGUAAUUUCGUUGCAGAUGGGAGUAUCCUAGAAUAUGUCGAUUGCAUUUCCAAAGGCAAAAAGUUUCCGGUGAAGUUGGUCACACUGCUAGGUAUACAUAUCAAUCCUCUAGAUCUUACACAGUCUAGCAGGCCGAAUUACAAAAAUGCAUCAAUGUAAUUAGUAGUAAAAUUAUUCAUUAUAUCUCGUAUUUUAUUUUGUCACGAUUCAAAUGUCGGGCUUUACAUUCUUCUAACAACUAUGUCUGAGUAGUACGUGAAUUUUCAACUUGACGUGAGCUAAUUGGUUUUCUUUGUUGUCUAAUUUACUUGACAAGUAUUGGGAUUGGGUUUGCAUUCAUAUGCGUGUUCCUUUUAUGCUACUAUUUAUAUCAAUGCGUGAAGAGAAGGAGAACCAAAACCCGUAAGGAGAAAAUUUUCAAGCAAAAUGGGGGCUUCUUGUUGCGAGAGAAAUUCUCAUCUUAUGGAAUUAGUAGCAAUGCAAAACUAUUUACUGCAGAGGAGUUGGAAAGAGCAACAGAUAACUACAACGAGAGCCGGUUUCUAGGGGAAGGAGGUUAUGGCACAGUUUAUAAAGGGAUGUUACCUGACGGUACCAUAGUAGCGGUUAAAAGGUCAAGGGCGAUAGACGAUAAUCAGAUUGAGCAAUUCAUCAAUGAAGUUGUCAUUCUAACUCAAAUCAAUCAUCGAAACAUCGUGAAAUUGCUUGGUUGUUGUUUGGAGACGGAGGUUCCAUUGCUAGUAUAUGAGUAUAUUUCUAAUGGAACUCUCUUCUAUCAUAUCCGUCAGAAGAAAGACUCCACCGAAUCAUCACUUUCGUGGGAAUACCGUUUAAGAAUCGCUUGUGAAGUUGCCGGAGCAGUAGCGUAUAUGCACUCAGCAGCUUCAAUCCCCAUCUAUCAUAGAGACAUCAAGUCGUCUAACAUACUUCUAGACCAUAACUACAGUGCUAAAGUAUCCGACUUUGGGACUUCCAAAUCAGUUCCCCUUGUCAAAACUCACUUGACGACACAGGUACAGGGGACUUUCGGGUACAUGGAUCCCGAGUACUUCCAAUCUUGUAAGUUCACAGACAGAAGUGAUACCUACAGCUUCGGAGUUACGCUCGUGGAGAUACUAACUGGACACACCCCAUAUUCUUUUGCAAAACAUGAAGGAAAAAACCUGGUUGCAUCGUUCAUUUCAUUGACGAGGGAAGAUGAACUCGUUCAGAUUAUGGAUCCUCAAGUGGCUAGAGAUGCAGAUGUUGAGCAAAUUCGCACGAUUGCAGAGCUUGCAAAACGGUGUUUGAGGCUGAAUGGGGCAAAGAGGCCUAGUAUGAAAGAGGUAUCAACAGAGUUGGAAGGAUUGAGGAACGCUCAAAGAUGCCAUGAAACGUUCCGAGAAGAUCCUAUAGAGCAAAACAUUGAUUUCCCCAUGGAAAUUGAAUCUGCAUCGCUUUGAACUUGAAACACACAACUAUUUUAAUUUGCUUCCCUAGUUUUUUUGUAGUUCCAUUCAGUACGACGUAACCGGGAUUCAUAAGUUAAUAUUUCGUUGAAAUUUAGCAAAGUCGAAUGAAAUUUUUUUAAAUUUCUGAAGUUACGGUCUAGUGGUACGAUACUUCUAUUAGUGGAAUUACAGAGACUAAAAUUCGUUAACAAAUUGCCUGACUAACAAACUGUGUACACCACCUUUGUACAGCUUCCCGUAAACAAACAGAUUUCCACCUGCCAAGCUACCUACGAUCAUCAGAUAUAGUCUCUUCAGAAGAACCAUCGCUGGCUAUAAUAAUUACGUCGUCUUGUUUACCGGCAUGACGAGAAUGAUCCCUUCUCUGUUUCCCCGUCCCAAGUCCUACCGAUAAGUGGUUGAAAAGAGAAGCAUUUACUCUUAAAUCACCACAUGUAACCUGCAUUUCAUUCCUUGGUGCCAAAUGUGAUUCCCGACGAUCAAAACCAGCAAGGGUGACAUUCAACCUGUCUGAAUGAGCAAUUGAUGAAACAGUUGAAGGCACAGUUGGGGGUGGAGAAGCAACAGCUUCUCUGAGCCAGUAGGGCAAAUUUCCCUGUGGUCCAGUGCAAGUUGUGGGGACAUCAGUCGAUAGUAACUUGCCCCUCCGAAUACUUCUACCUCUAUUUAGAAUACUAAAUUCAUCAUCUUCAUGUGUGUCCCUUCCCAUUUCAAAACGAGAUGUCCUCUUUGUGUAACCAAGAGGCCUCCGGUGGUUUUCAUUGCCAUUGUCGCAAGUAUAAGCCGACUUGAAUAGUGGCCUCCUCAAGACAUCACCUCCUCUACAAGCAUCAACAUCGCCAAGUGAAACUUGGGUCAUGUCUGCUGUAUUUUCUUUCCAUAUUCCUCUUUUUGGACCCGUAAAGUAGUUGCAUCCCACUUGGGGAACACAAAUGCCACUAAAAAAUUUUGAUUGUUCCUCUUCCCACCGCUCAGCUUAGUCCCUUGCCACCCUCCGUGGUGAGAAGUGCAAUCUUGGAUCCCUUAACAUAGCAUUCCAAUUGUCGCGUCCAUAUCUUCUCACGCCCAUCCAUAGAAAAUCCAACUCUUCUUCAGACCACAUGGUACUAUAUGGCAUAUAUUUGUCAUGAAUACCACCCCUUUCAUUCAAAGCUCUUGCUUGGCUUACUACACUGUCAUGCAUAAGCUUGUGCCUCAAAACUGAUGAGUCAUUUUGUAGUUGGGGUGAAGGGUUGUUAAAGAGGGUUAGGGUUAGGUUUUGGAAUAUUUUUUUUUUUUUUUAGCAAACGAUAUUAUCUACACUAAAAGGAAGAUGGUGGACUUAGACUCACAAUGAGCUAGCAAUAAUGCGAUUCAAAUUCGCUUUUGGCGAGAAUCGAACCUAAGACCUCUAUUUACAAAUGAAGAGGAAUUCCACUAAACCGUAGUACUAAGUGGAAGGUUUUGGAUUUCUCAUGUAUACGUAUCCUUUUUAUUAGAACACACAAUGGGUAUCUUCUUUUAUUUGUGACUUUUUCAAGUUUUCAUGUUUGUUUCCUGUUCUCCUUGUUUUCUUUUUUACUGUUUGGAAUUAGUUGUGUUAAUCCUGCUAUCAGAUGGGCUAAUACGAUGUACUUGAUGACAAUAAAAAAAAAAAAUUAAUAAGGAAAAUAAACAAAUGUAAAAAAGUAUUAGAACAUUUCCAUUUUUCUUGUUUCUGAACUUGUAAGGUAAUCUGUUUGUACCAUACUUAGGGCAUCCGUAUUUAGAUCUCGUAUAAAUACUCGAGAGACUCAAGUGUAAUUAUGUAAUAAAUGAAGGGGGCAAAUAUGUAAUCAGUGAGGAGCCCUUAGUCUAUAAAAGUGACUCCUCACCCUCACAAUCCUCAAGCCUCACAUCCCCAAACAGAGGCUCUCAUAUUCAGAGCUCCCACCCUCACAGAGAAGCUCUCUAAAACCCUUUCUUUAUCUGGGGGACUCCCCCUCAUGCUUGUAAUCCAUACAUUCAUACAGAGAAAUACAAUCAACAUCAGUGUGGACUUAGCCCAAACAUUGGGGUGAACCACGAUACAUCUUAUGUUCUUUACUUUCUUGCAGAUUCACGGUCGGAUUUACGUUGUUCCAAGACCCAUCCGGUUUUGUGCAUCAACAUUUGGCGCCGUCUGUGCGAAUCGACAUGAAAAGCUAUGUCGGUUCUUUUUCAGUUUUCCAUCUCACCACCGUGAGAUCUCACCACACUCCAUAGGGAAUCUACAGAAACCUAAGAACCAAACGGAAAACACAUGCUAACAAGCACCCACCUUUCUUCCUUCGUCUCGAAAACCCAGCAGGAUUAGCCCGUUUUGGAAUCUGGGUCGGUGGGAUUUUUUUUAUUUUUUUUGGAUUCUGGUCAGGAAGUUUGUGAAUUUUGAAAAAUGAAGAAGCUCAAGAGCUACUACUCGCAUCUGAGGCACCACCAGACAAUGGAGCUCAAAUGGAUCUUCCCAUUGGCGAUUGGCUCCAUUGUCUCCCUCUUCCUCCUUUUCCUCACCACCCUGACGUCGUCCGACAGCAUGCCGCUGCUACCCUUCUACCUCUCAUUCUCCAUCUCGAGGUUCGUCUUCAUCGAAUCCAAGCCCUACCCGAUUCCCGACUCACUCGCCGCCUUAGGUUGCCAGGCGCUUCUCUUAUCGACCAACGUCGAUCCGAAGUAACGGCACCGUUUAGUGACGUUGGUAAGGCUGGGGCAGUACCACCAGCCUAUAGAAGCCUGCCCAGCCGAUGGCGUCGACCACAUGCCCUUUGAGGACCCCCGGCGCAACAGCCAGUUAAGUCGGGAAAUGAACUUUUAUAGAUAGAGGCAUUGCCCUCUGUCCGAGAAGACCCCUCUUUGCUUAAUCCCACCUCCCAAUGGCUACAAGAUUCUGGUCCCAUGGCCCGACAGCUUAACCAAGAAAGCACCAUUUCAUCUCUCUCUCUCUCAGAGGUUGAUAUUUUGGUUUGGAACAAUGCUCGGAGCCGGAGCUCAAUUCCAUGUGAUAGAUCGCUCAGCUGCCAUCCGUCUGGUCCCAAAAACUUCGCCUUCUUCUUCCUCUUCGUGCCGCUUGGUCUUUACGAUUUGAUUAGGGUUCAUCAAACCAUCAAAACGGUGUCGUGCGCUCAAAUCUCUCCGCAUUACCUGCAACAGCUCUUCCUUUCGCUCUAGAUCCAGCAAUGCCGACGAUCAUCAUGAUUUCGACCACAUCCAAGCUUCCCUCAUCCUCUCAGAUCCCAUCUCUCUCUCUGUGCAUCCAUCCAUGGUGACGAUCUAGAGCGUCAAGGCUAGGCAGAUCUUCGACAGCCGUGACAAUCCCACCGUUGAGGUCAAUAUCAUAUUGUCAUAUGGCACUUUGGCUAGAGCCGUUGUUCCAAGUGGUGCAUCCACUGGAGUUUACGAGGCCCUUGAGUUGCGCGAUGGAGGCAAAGACUACCUCAGAAAGGGUGUAUCGAAGGCUGUCAACAAUGUCAACACAAUCAUUGGCCCCGCUUUGAUAGGCAAUGACCUCAUCCAGCUCGGCAAGAUUACCGAAGAAGAAUUAAAGCAGUAAGAAGCCUCUGCUCAUGGCUAUCAAGGGUAAGAUCUAUGACGUGUCCUAGAGCAGUGGAGUUGGUAUACCAGCAUACAGAAGUGGCAAGCACAGAACAAGAUAAGAUUCCACUUCUAAAAAAGGAUGUCUGGAGAUGAGAAAAGCAUAGGAGAAAGUGGAUUUACUGUCACUACUCACCCAUGUUGUAAACCUGCAAAGCAAAAGUAGAAAAGAGAAUAAAAUCUGAGAGAUUGGGAUUUGACUGAGACCUAGUUUGGGAGUGAGGUGCUUAAAAAAAAAGCACCUAUGAAAAAAAGCUGUGAGGGUUUUAGGUGUUUGGUAAACUGAAAAAAAAAGGCUUAUUUUGGAAGCUGUUGUGAGAAUAAGCUGAAAUCAAAGGAAAAAGCUGAAGCUGUUAUUUGCAGCUUUGGAAAACUGGCUUUUUUUCAAAGCACACGAAGCUACAGUGCUCCUUUAAUGAAAAGACCCACUAUCAGACUGUUUUUUUUCCAAAACCACUUUUACAAAAAAGUUUACCAAACGCUCUGCUGAUUUAUUUCACAGCCGCUUAUUCUCACAGCACAGCCGCUUAUUCUCACAGCAGCUUUUUUUUUCAAAGUACAGCAAUACCAAACCAACCCUGAGUAUGACCUCAAGUGGUAGGGGACAAACAGUAAAAAAAGAUUAAUGAUUAAUUGGGUGCACAUGCAUGACAGCAGCGCAGAGACAGAGACAGAGGUGCGGUGGAAAGAGAAAAGAAAAAAUAGAAAAAAACUCUCCAGUACGCAGUAGGCGCAGUACGCACCAACAACAUGCAACUGUCAACCACUCUCACAAAGGAAAUCUCGCUGUUGCCGAUUUACUUUUCUUAUCUUUGGAGACAUCUGUAUAACCCCACCAGAGGGUAAUCAUAAAUAAAGAAAGAAGGCAGCAUGCCUAAAAAAAAAGUAUGUCCAAUACUCCAAAAUUAUUUGGCAGCCUGCCGCUAUUAUCACCAACCAGGUGAUCAAAAGUACGUCCAAUACUCCAAAAUGAUUCAGCAGCCUGCCGCUAUUAUCACCAACCAGGUGAUCAAAAGUACGUCCAAUACUCCAAAAUUAUUUGGCAGCCUACCGCUAUUAUCACUAACUAGGUGAUCAAAAGUACGUCCAGUACUCCAAAAUUAUACAUAAGCAUCACUCAUGUCAAUCAUACAUAAACAUUCAUGAGCAUCACUUAUGUCAAUCAUACAUAAACAUUCAUAAGCAUCACUCAUGUCAACAUUCAUGAGCAUCUCAUGUCAACAUUCACGAGCAUCACCCAUGUCAACAUUCACGAGCAUCACUCAUGUCAACAUCCAUGAGCAUCACUCAUGUCAAUCAACAUAAACAUUCAUGAGCAUCACUCAUGUCAAUCAGCUUCGAAAGCUUCAUUUACAGAGCUCCAGCUUCAAAAGCUUAAUUUAUAAAAGCUUCAGCUUCGAAAGCUUCAUUUACAAAGCUCCGACUUCAAAGCUUCAUUUGCAAAAGCUCCAGCUUCAAAGCUUCACCUACAAAGCUUUAGUGCAUGGUAUACAAAGACUGCCUCCGAACAACCGUCACUUCGGCCCAUACAUGGAUAGAAUUUGAAGUCUCCAACCAACAGACUCUCUUGACUGAAGACUUGAGGGACUGCACUAUGUACCAUAUAUUGGGCUUCCGCAACUGGGCCUCAUGAAAAAUACUUGGGGGACUUAGCCCAUUAUUUAUGUACUAAGGAGCGAACCUUAUUCUAUAAAAGGGACUCCUUCACCAUCAUUAGAGAGCAUCGCCGCCUGCUGAGCAACCGCCUCGCCGCGAGCAUCAACUUAGCCUAUCAUUCAUGUAUUAAAGAGCGAGCCCUGAUUCUAUAAAAGGGACUCCUUCACUUUCAUUAGAGAACACUCAUGAAAAAUACUUGGGGGACUUAGCCCAUCAUUCAUGUAUUGAAGAGCAAACCCUUAUUAUAUAAAAGGGACUCCCUCACCAUCAUUAGAGAGCAUCGCCGCCUGCUGAGCAACCGCCUCGCCGGGAGCAUCAACUCUAGCCCAUCAUUUAUGUAUUGAGAAGCAAGCCCUUAUUCUAUAAAAGGGACUCCCUCACCAUCAUUAGAGAACAUCACUGCCUGCUGAGCAACCGUCUCGCUGCAAGCAUCAACUCUAACCCAUCAUUUAUGUAUUGAGGAGCGAGCCCUUAUUCUAUAAAAGGGACUCCCUCACCUUCAACGCCACAAGCCGAGCCAACCAAAGCAACAUAAGCCACAAGCAGAGCAGCCUCGCAACAUGUGAUACUUCUAGUUGAACAUAAUUUCAGAUUGGGCACUGCCUCAUAUCGAGUAUCAGUGCCAGACGACAUCCAGUUACUUCGGCCCACACAUAGACUGAAUUUCAAGUCUUCAGCCAAAAGACUCUCUUAACUAAAGACUUGGGGGACUACUGUUUGUACCAUACUUAGGGCCUCCGUAUUUAGACCUCGUAUAAAUACUCGGGGGACUCAAGUGUAAUUAUGUAAUAAAUGAAGAGGGGCAAAUAUGUAAUAAGUGAGGAGCCCUUAGUCUAUAAAAGGGACUCCUCACCCUCACAAUCCUCAAGCCUCACAUCCCCAAACAGAGGCUCUCAUAUUCAGAGCUCUCAUCCUCACAGAGAAGCUCUCUAAAACCCUAUCUUUCUCUGGGGGACUCCCCCUCACGCUUGUAAUCCAUACAUUCAUACAUAGAAAUACAAUCAACAUCAGUGUGGACGUAGCCCAAAUAUUGGGGUGAACCACGAUACAUCUUGUGUUCUUUACUUCCUUACAGAUUCACGGUCGGAUUUACGUUGUUCCAAGACCCCUCCGGUUUUGUGCAUCAACAUAAUCUAAAACAAAAAUAGAAGUUGGAAAUAUAUAAUUAAUAGGAAACAUACUUUACAUGCAUGGCGACACAUCUUUUUUGGAUUUCACACAAUUGAUAGGGGAAUUCCACUAAAUUUUCCAUAACCGUUCAACCAAACUUUCAACUUUCACCAAACUUUCAACUUUCAUCAACCGUUCAACCACUAAACUUUCAACUUUCACCAACCGUUCAACUUUCCCCAAACUUUCAACUUUCACCAAUCGUUCAACUUUCAUCAAUCAUUCAACUUUCAUCAAUCAUCUUCUAUAUAAACACAAGUUUAAUAUCAGUUGAUAACACAAUCUUUCAACCUUCAAUCAUCCUUUAUAUUCACCAAUCUUUCAACUUUCAAAGUGUUUUUGUUUCCUAAAAAUCUUCAAUAGAAACUCAUGCCAAACAUAAAGCAACAUCUUCCUUACAAGUCCAAUUACGACCUCUAAUAUGCUCUCUUGCCAUGUUGAACAAUUUAGAAAUGGAAAGAAAUGGUAGAAAGAUAGAUUGAAAGAAUUGUAGGAGAAAUUUGAGUUUUGUGGGGAUGUUUGAACAAAUACAUAGGUAUUUAUAGAGUUUUUGGGUGAAUUUUGAGUUAAAUAAUUUUUUUUAAUUAUUUUAGCCGUUGGAUUUAAAUUUGGACCGUUAGAUCUUUCUUUUUUUUACCGUUAGAUUUGAUUAUAUUUGAUUUUAGCCGUUUGAUUCAAUGUAUUUUAAAAUAACAUUUUUUAAAAUUUUUUUUUUUUGAAUCUGGACCGUUGGAUCAACCAACGGUCAUUAAAUGUCAGCCGUUUGAUGUGGAAAAGAGCUGUUGGGCUCGAGGAUGUGACCAACAACAGCCAUAACAGUGGGCCCCCCGUUGUCGAGCGCUGAAGGCAGGUGGGCCGCGUGGGGCGCGUCGGCGAAUGGGCGGGUCGAGACUGGCCUAAGGGGGUAUUUGGCCCAGCUUUAGCAUUUGACUUUUAACCCAAUGUUUUAGCUUGGGUUGGGUGGUGUUUGGGGGGGGGGAAUAAAUGGGGUAUUUUGGCAUUUAACCCAGGGUUGGAGAGAGUCUUAAGUUCAAUCUUGGAUAAUAUUUUAAAUAUCUUUCUUUUACUUUUCUUUAGGUAAAUUACAUAAAACUACUUAACUAUGGAUCGAUACAAUCUCAUACCUUAUGUUUUAAUAAUGACAAUAUCAUUCCUCAUCUUACCAAUUUGUUGUAAUGUUAUACCUCCGUCAGUGUCUGUUAAUUUUUCUGUUAAAUGCUAACGUAACUUGAGACAAGACCCACUUCCUAGUCAAGUGGAUAAAAAUAUUAAUAAAUUAAAAAUAAUUUUUUUAAUAUUUUUAUUUUAAAUCAUGUGGGACCUACCCCCUAUAAUUCUCUCCCUUUCUCCACUUUUUCUUCUUGAUCCGAACCCAUCUCCCACCCACCUUUUCUGCACCAAAUCUUCCUCCUCCGAUGACCCAUCUGACCAAAAGGACCAUUCUGACCCGAAGGAACCCACAAACCCAAAUCCCCAAUCCCACUAUUCCUCUUGCUCUUCCUAUUUCAGCGACGUCAAAGCCAGCCUCAGGCAACACCAACAGCAGCAACAUUCUUCUACAGCUUCAAGUUUCCCACAACAAAUCUCUUUUCAAGAGCUCUACAAGAGAAAUGUGCUUGGCAAGGCUGAGGGCGGCAAUGCUGAUAGUGAUCGAAAGCUCUCUUUUGAUACGAUUUGAGAGAGUUCGAGGAACAAGAUCCUGAUUUUAUCCCCUCAUCGUCGUCAUCCUCGUCACCUCGUUGACCUUGUCCCCAGGCCCGAUGGACCCGCUACCCAAAACAAAAUCUAGGUUUUUUCGGUCCAAAUUUUUUUAAAAUAAAAAGGUGAAGAAUGGAUGAAGGAAGAAGGUGAAGAAUGGAUGAAGGUGAAGGUGAAUAAUGAAGGUGAAGGUGAAGAUGGAGGUGAGAGAGAUAGGAGAGAGAUUGGAUGUGAAAGAGAUAGGAGAGAGAGAGAUGGAACGCAUUAGGGGAGAAAUGGAAGAAAGGGAGUUAAAAUAAAAAUAUUAAAAUAAUUUAUUUUUAAUUUAGGAUUAAACUCUGUUUACUACCCUGAAAUUUUGUGGUUUUCAACAUUUAGUACAUCAAGUUUUUUUCGUUCCAGAGUUAUACCUAAAGUGUAAAUUUUGGGACAGUCUCAUACAUCCGUUAGUCAAACUGUUAAGUUUCCCGUUAACUGUGACGUGGCACCCAUAUAGACAAUGAUUAGAUGCCACGUGUCAUUCACGUGGAAAUUAAAAAUAAAUUAUUUAUAAAAUAAAUUAUAUAUAUAUAUAUAAUAAAAAAACCUUCUCCCACUCCCCCAACACUCUUUCUCUCACACCACUCCUACUCGGACUCCCGUGACUCCUUCCAUCUCUCUCGCGACCCCCGAUCAACCCCACUCCGCUCCCUCUGCGACACCCCUAACGACGCCGAUGGAUCCUCUUUGACGGCUCCGGUCAUGACUUCGGUUCAGAUCGGGUCUCCCGAUGGAUCAUCUCCGACGGCUCCGGUCACUGCAUCGCCGACAAAUCCCGAUUUCCUGGGGCUCGCCACACCGGAGAAUUGGUGAUGUCUCAGGCAGAGAUUCAGAGGCAGAUCCAGGAGUUGCAGAGGAUGCAAAUCGUUGCUGGUCACGAGCUGAGAGGCUCCGGUUCAUCAAACAACACAAUUCAAAAUUCAUUCUACAUUUUUUCCUCAGAUUCUCACCAUUCAAAUAAACUCAAAAAUCCAAUAAACAAACAACUAACAAUCAAAACUCACCCCAUAACUGUCAAAUCAGCUAUGCGUUUCGGAGAAAAUCGAAGCCUGAAGUGAAAAAAUGGGAAAUUAAAUUUAAAGAACAAAAUACCUCGUGGCCCAUCUGGGAAUUGACUGAGUGAGUGGGGUAAAACCGGAGAAUGGCAAUUUCUAAACCUGAGGAAGAAGCAACAAGAAAGCAAGAGAGAGAGAGAGCGGGGAAAAAGAGGAACAAGGAAGGCACGGUCGGCUUCAGAAAAGCGGGCCAGGCAUCAGCUGGCAGGCUGCCAACCAUGACUUAAAAAACUGCUUUUUGGGAACGAUUGUUAGGGUUUUGGGCGCGGGUUCUCCUCGUCCUCGAUCUCCCGCGGCGAGGAAUAGCUCCGGAUUCUGGUGCCUCUCUCUACCUCUUCUUCCCCAUUGAUGGUGUUGCGGCUGUAGGGGAAGCUUUUUCUGCUAUUGAAACUGGAAAAUUGAAACCCCCGCCACCUUGAUUUCUUCAGUCUAAAACGCUAACUAUAUCUUAAUCAAAUUGCGGUUUAGUAGUCGAUUUGGAUUUGGAGGGUCUGGAUUUGGAGGUUUAAGGUUUGGGCGAUGGUGCUGAGCAAGGCGACGGGGGCGACGUAGUUUGGGUUAGGGUGGGUGAAGGUCGAUCUGGGGAGAGAGAAGGGAGGGGGGUGAAGCGGGAGGAGUCGGAAGGAUCAGGGAAGAGAAGAGGGAGGAGAAGAGAAUAGUUUUUUAAUUUUUUUAAUUUUUAAUUUUUUUUAAUUUUUAAAUAUUCACGUGGGCCCAUUUUGACACGUGGGGCCCAAUCAUUGUCACAUGGGUGCCACGUCACAGUUAACGAGAGACUUAAUAGUUUAACUAACAAAUGUAUGAGACUGUUCCAAAAUUUACAUUUUAGGUAUGACUCUGGGACGAAAAAAACAUGAUGUACUAAAUGUUGAAAACCACGAAACAUGAGGGUAGUAAACAGUUUUUUGCCCUUUAAUUUAUUAAUAUUUUAUUAAUAUUUUUAUCCACUUGGCUAGGAAGUAGGUCCCGUCACAAGCUACCUCAGCAUUUAACAGAAAAAUUAAUAGACAAACUGAUGGAUGUAUGACAUUGCAACAAAUUCGUAAGAUGAGUAUGGCAUUGUUAUUUUUAAAACAUAAGGUAUGAGAUUGUAGUUCGACUCAUAGUUGAGGUAAUUUUAUAUAAUUUAUCUUUUUUAUUUUUAUUUGCUAACUACUUAGAGAGUGGUAGAUACUCAAAUACUGUUUGCGUACUUAUUUUUUUAUUGAUGAUUUCUAAAUGUAAUCUGAAAAAUUAGUGUCUAUUUAUCAUUACUCAUUAGAUAAUAAGUAUGUAGAGUGUAAAGUUAAUUUUUAAAACGCAACACAAAAUUUAAGAAUUUGGGAAUUAAGGAAAUAAAUUCAAGUGUGUGUUGAUGAGUGAUGACUAGACUAGGAGAUUAAUUGUCUUUGUCGAGCUAUAUAUGCAAUUAACCAACACUAACGCCACUGUAAAAACAACUUAUACAAAGUAAUGGAGGGCGCACGAGUGAUAAAAUAAUCUUUAAAGGCUUAAUUAGUUUUAAGAAACGAAACAAUUUAGUAAAAAAAAUAUAGGGGACUUGUGUUUUUCUUGAACAUGCACCCGGUUUCUUGGACCUCUGGUUUCGAAUUCAUGAAUUCCCCCUAUCAAUUGUGUGAAAAACCAAAAAGAUGUGUCGCCAUGCAUGUAGAGUAUUGUUUCCUAGCUUAACCCGGUUAAUUAUAUAGUUCCAACUUCUAUUUUUGUUUUAGAUUACCUUACAAGUUUCAGAAACAAGAAAAGUGGAAAUGUUCUAAUACUUUUUUACAUUUGUUUAUUUUCCUUUUUAAUUUCUAUUUUUGUUAUUGUCAUCAAGUACAUCGUAUUAGUCCAUCUGAUAGCGGGAUUACACAACUAAUUCCAAACAGUAAAAAAGAAAACAAGGAAAAAAGGAAACAACCAUGAAAACUUGAAAAAUUAGCAAAUACAAGAAGAUACCCGUUGUGUGUAUACAUGAGAAAUCCAAAACCUGCCACUUAGUACUACGGUCUAGUGAUAUUCAUCUUCAUUUGUAAGUAGAGGUCUUAAGUUUGACUCUCGUCAAAGGCAAAUUUGAACCGCAUUAUUGCUAGCUCAUUGUAAGGCUAAGUUCACAAUCUCUCCCUUAGUGUAGAUAAUAACGCUUGCUCAAAAAAAAAAAAAAAUCCAAAACCUAACCCUAACCCAAAAAAAAUCCAAAACCUAACCCUAACCCUCUUUAACAACCCUUCACCCCAACUACAAAAUAACUCAUCAGUUUUGAGGCACAAGCUUAUGCAUGACAGUGUAGUAAGCCAAGCAAGAGCUUUGAAUGAAAGGGGUGGUAUUCAUGACAAAUAUAUGCCAUAUAAUAGUAAUACCAUGUGGUCUGAAGAAGAGUUGGAUUUCUAUGGAUGGGCGUGAGAAGAUAUGGACGCGACAAUUGGAAUGCUAUGUUAAGGGAUCCAAGAUUGCACUUCUCACCACGGAGGGUGGCAAGGGACUAAGCUGAGCGGUGGGAAGAGGAACAAUCAAAAUUUUUUAGUGGCAUUUGUGUUCCCCAAGUGGGAUGCAACUACUUUACGGGUCCAAAAAGAGGAAUAUGGAAAGAAAAUACAGCAGACAUGACCCAAGUUUCACUUGGCGAUGUUGAUGCUUGUAGAGGAGGUGAUGUCUUGAGGAGGCCACUAUUCAAGUCGGCUUAUACUUGCGACAAUGGCAAUGAAAACCACCGGAGGCCUCUUGGUUACACAAAGAGGACAUCUCGUUUUGAAAUGGGAAGGGACACACAUGAAGAUGAUGAAUUUAGUAUUCUAAAUAGAGGUAGAAGUAUUCGGAGGGGCAAGUUACUAUCGACCGAUGUCCCCACAACUUGCACUGGACCACAGGGAAAUUUGCCCUACUGGCUCAGAGAAGCUGUUGCUUCUCCACCCCCAAACUGUGCCUUCAACUGUUUCAUCAAUUGCUCAUUCAGACAGGUUGAAUGUCACCCUUGCUGGUUUUGAUCGUCGGGAAUCACAUUUGGCACCAAGGAAUGAAAUGCAGGUUACAUGUGGUGAUUUAAGAGUAAAUGCUUCUCUUUUCAACCACUUAUCGGUAGGACUUGGGACGGGGAAACAGAGAAGGGAUCAUUCUCGUCAUGCCGGUAAACAAGACGACGUAAUUAUUAUAGCCAGCGAUGGUUCUUCUGAAGAGACUAUAUCUGAUGAUCGUAGGUAGCUUGGCAGGUGGAAAUCUGUUUGUUUACGGGAAGCUGUACAAAGGUGGUGUACACAGUUUGUUAGUCAGGCAAUUUGUUAACGAAUUUUAGUCUCUGUAAUUCCACUAAUAGAAGUAUCGUACCACUAGACCGUAACUUCAGAAAUUUAAAAAAUUUCAUUCGACUUUGCUAAAUUUCAACGAAAUAUUAACUUAUGAAUCCCGGUUACGUCGUACUGAAUGGAACUACAAAAAAACUAGGGAAGCAAAUUAAAAUAGUUGUGUUUCAAGUUCAAAGCGAUGCAGAUUCAAUUUCCAUGGGGAAAUCAAUGUUUUGCUCUAUAGGAUCUUCUCGGAACGUUUCAUGGCAUCUUUGAGCGUUCCUCAAUCCUUCCAACUCUGUUGAUACCUCUUUCAUACUAGGCCUCUUUGCCCCAUUCAGCCUCAAACACCGUUUUGCAAGCUCUGCAAUCGUGCGAAUUUGCUCAACAUCUGCAUCUCUAGCCACUUGAGGAUCCAAAAUCUGAACGAGUUCAUCUUCCCUCGUCAAUGAAACGAACGAUGCAACCAGGUUUUCUCCUUCAUGCUUUGCAAAAGAAUAUGGGGUGUGUCCAGUUAGUAUCUCCACGAGCGUAACUCCGAAGCUGUAGGUAUCACUUCUGUCUGAGAACUUACAAGAUUGGAAGUACUCGGGAUCCAUGUACCCGAAAGUCCCCUGUACUUGUGUCGUCAAGUGAGUUUUGUCAAGGGGAACUGAUUUGGAAGUCCCAAAGUCGGAUACUUUAGCACUGUAGUUGUGGUCUAGAAGUAUGUUAGACGACUUGAUGUCUCUGUGAUAGAUGGGGAUUGAAGCUGCUGAGUGCAUAUAAGCUAUUGCUCCGGCAACUUCACAAGCGAUCCUUAAACGGCAUUCCCACGAAAGUGAUGAUUCGGUUGAGUCUUUCUUCUGAAGGAUAUGAUGGGAGAGAGUUGCAUUAGAAAUAUACUCAUAUACUAGCAAUGGAACCUCCGUCUCCAAGCAACAACCAAGCAAUUUCACGAUGUUUCGAUGAUUGAUUUGAGUUAGAAUGACAACUUCAUUGAUGAAUUGCUCAAUCUGAUUUUCGUCUAUCGCCCUUGACCUUUUAACCGCUACUAUGGUUCCGUCAGGUAACAUCCCUUUAUAAACUGUGCCAUAACCUCCUUCCCCUAGAAACCGGCUCACGUUGUAGUUAUCUGUUGCUCUCUCCAACUCCUCUGCAGUAAAUAGUUUUGCAUUGCUACUAAUUCCAUAAGAUGAGAAUUUUUCUCGCAACAAGAAGCCCCCAUUUUGCUUGAAAAAUUUCUCUUUACGGGUUUUGGUUCUCCUUCUCUUCACGCAUUGAUAUAAAUAGUAGCAUAAAAGGAACACGCAUAUGAAUGCAAACCCAAUCCCAAUACCUGUCAAGUAAAUUAGACAACAAAGAAAAACCAAUUAGCUCACGUCAAGUUGAAAAUUCACGUACUACUCAGAUAGUUGUUAGAAGAAUGUAAAGUCUGACAUUUGAAACGUGAAAAAAUAAAAUACGAGAUAUAAUGAAUAAUUUUACUACUAAUUACAUCGAUGCAUUUUUGUACAUCGGCCUGCUAGACUGUGUAAGAUCUAGAGGAUUGAUAUGUAUACCUAGCAGUGUGAACAACUUCACCGGAAACUUUUUGCCUUUGGAAUUGCAAUCGACAUAUUCUAGGAUACUCCCAUCUGCAACGAAAUUACCAUCAGAAGUAGGGCAUUUCUUGCUUUUGAGGGGAACAAGAAC